rnacentral:rRNA from 1 species
GAUAACAGGCUGAUACCGCCCAAGAGUUCAUAUCGACGGCGGUGUUUGGCACCUCGAUGUCGGCUCAUCACAUCCUGGGGCUGAAGUAGGUCCCAAGGGUAUGGCUGUUCGCCAUUUAAAGUGGUACGCGAGCUGGGUUUAGAACGUCGUGAGACAGUUCGGUCCCUAUCUGCCGUGGGCGCUGGAGAACUGAGGGGGGCUGCUCCUAGUACGAGAGGACCGGAGUGGACGCAUCACUGGUGUUCGGGUUGUCAUGCCAAUGGCACUGCCCGGUAGCUAAAUGCGGAAGAGAUAAGUGCUGAAAGCAUCUAAGCACGAAACUUGCCCCGAGAUGAGUUCUCCCUGACUCCUUGAGAGUCCUGAAGGAACGUUGAAGACGACGACGUUGAUAGGCCGGGUGUGUAAGCGCAGCGAUGCGUUGAGCUAACCGGUACUAAUGAACCGUGAGGCUUAACCUUACAACGCCGAAG